rnacentral:rRNA from 1 species
AACUGUGCCAGUGGAUCACUUGGCUCAUGCGUCGAUUAAGAGUGCAGCCAACUGUGCGAAUUAAUGUGAAUCGCAGUCUGCUUUGAACGUCGACAGCUUGAACGCAUAUUGCGGCCAUAGGCUUUGUCUGCGGCCACGUCUGUCCGAGCGUCG